rnacentral:misc_RNA from 1 species
UAAGAAUUAACAUUAUCAAAAAUCAAGUUGAUAAUGAAUUUGAUUAUUUAAAUGGUGGUCAGUGGUCACCGCUGAAGCAGAAUCGUCAUAUCACAAUUUCAAAAAUAACAACUAAAUAUUUAACAGCAUUCCAUAAAGGUUGAACUCAUGGCUUGCUAAUCCAAAACUGGGAUUAAAAACAAAUGGACUAACACUCAAAUAUUCAAAGGCCUGACAUACACUCUGCAUCAGAGUUUACUUGA